rnacentral:lncRNA from 1 species
CACAAUUAUGUUUAGACUUAAUUAUGAUCUGCUUCUCUUAGGCUUAGUAUUAUUCAUUGUCAACUUGGGAUUAUUUCUUUUAUUGAGUGGAUCACUAAACUCUUCUAAACAACCUGAUUAGUCUAGGUUGGGCCUUAGCUGGGAAUGCCUACGGACAUUACUUUGUACUUGGACUUGGUCCUCAGUAUCCAAAAAAGUUGCAAGGGUGAUGUAAUUCUUGAUAAAUUCUGUUAGCUCUUGGGAUAAGAAUUGAUGUGGUUUGAGUACAGGAGGAGCUUUAUCCUCAGAUAAUGCACAUUAAUAGGAAGCUUGGUUUUAUUAAUUAAUGCUCUAAAGGUUUUGGGAGUCUAAGGCUAGAGAGUUUGUGUAGCAUAGCCUUUUAACAUAUUGCUCAUAAAUUCAGUGG